rnacentral:rRNA from 1 species
CAGUCGCCGCGGUAAGACAGAGGAUGCAAGCGUUAUCCGGAAUGAUUGGGCGUAAAGCGUCUGUUGGUGGCUUUUCAAGUCCGCCGUCAGAUCCCCGGGCUCAACCUUGGAACUGCCUUUGAUACUGUUUGUCUUGAGUUCGAGAGAGGUAAGUGGAACUGCGAGUGUAGAGGUGAAAUUCGUAGAUAUUCGCAAGAACACCAGUGGCGAAGGCGGCUUACUGGCUCGAAACUGACGCUGAGGCGCGAAAGCGUGGGGAGCAAACAGGAUUAGAUACCCCUGUAGUCCCUGUCUCUUAUAA